rnacentral:lncRNA from 1 species
ACCAAACCAUCUCGACGAUUAGGUCAACUCUUAACCUAAUCGAGUCAAACCCAACUGAAUCCAAUUCAAUUGGACUUGAUCCAAAAAAUAAUUACUCAAUCAAAUUGAGUUAAUUAGUGAUCAAAUCACUAAUUAAACCUCUCAUAAAUAUUGAGUCCAAAUCCAAUGGAUAAUCGAGCAUCAGAAUUCAUCGAUAUGUAACC